UAGGUGACCUGCGGAGGGAUCAUUACACAAAUAUGAAGGCGGGCUGGAACCUCUCGGGGUUACAGCCUUGCUGAAUUAUUCACCCUUGUCUUUUGCGUACUUCUUGUUUCCUUGGUGGGUUCGCCCACCACUAGGACAAACAUAAACCUUUUGUAAUUGCAAUCAGCGUCAGUAACAAAUUAAUAAUUACAACUUUCAACAACGGAUCUCUUGGUUCUGGCAUCGAUGAAGAACGCAGCGAAAUGCGAUAAGUAGUGUGAAUUGCAGAAUUCAGUGAAUCAUCGAAUCUUUGAACGCACAUUGCGCCCUUUGGUAUUCCAAAGGGCAUGCCUGUUCGAGCGUCAUUUGUACCCUCAAGCUUUGCUUGGUGUUGGGCGUCUUGUCUCUAGCUUUGCUGGAGACUCGCCUUAAAGUAAUUGGCAGCCGGCCUACUGGUUUCGGAGCGCAGCACAAGUCGCACUCUCUAUCAGCAAAGGUCUAGCAUCCAUUAAGCCUUUUUUUCAACUUUUGACCUCGGAUCAGGUAGGGAUACCCGCUGAACUUAAGCAUAUC
rnacentral:rRNA from 1 species